UACGUAGGGGGCAAGCGUUGUCCGGAUUCAUUGGGCGUAAAGAGCGUGUAGGCGGCCAGGUAGGUCGGUUGUGAAAACUCGAGGCUCAACCUCGAGACGUCGAUGGAAACCAUCUGGCCUAGAGUCCGGAAGAGGAGAGUGGAAUUCCGUGGUGUAGCGGUGAAUGCGCAGAUAUCAGGAAGAACACCCGUGGCGAAGGCGGCUCUCUGGUACGUGACUGACGCGAGACGCGAAAGCGUGG
rnacentral:rRNA from 1 species